AAUAAAAAAUAUAUAUAUUUUUUAGCUUAAGUAACAUAAGCCAGUAAUAUAAAGAUUAUUAGAUUUAUGACUCAAAAUCUUAGUGGGUUUUGGAAGAUGCCUUUUCUUGAUUUUAGUGGGAUGAAUAUUUCCUAAUAGGAAGGAGGAUUAUUUCUUAUAUGGAGUAGUAUUAUUUAUUAUGUUAUUCAUAAAUUUGAGUGGUAUUUCUAUUUAGAUUAUGAUUUUAGAAGCUAACGCUAUAAAUAGGAGUAUCGUGGAAAUGUUAUUUAACUUUCUGCUCGUAGAAAGAGGCUUUUGCCCAUUGAUAAGUAGAGUACUUAAAGUUAAGAGGAAGGGACUAUUUUCCAUUGUUGAUAGGGCUAUUGACCAUGUAGUUGAAGACAUCUAUGAAAGUGGAAAAGAAUAAGAAGAAUAGAGAAAUAUUGUUUGGAAUACUAGGCUUGAUUAUUCCCUCAAGCUAAUUGGGA
rnacentral:misc_RNA from 1 species